rnacentral:lncRNA from 1 species
GUCACCAGCAUUUUUGGCCAGACAUGGUAUUGUUUGUCCAGGUGAUUUAAAAAUAAUUAUAAUGGUACAAGGUCCAGCAGUGAAUCCAUUACUAAGUUCUGACACAAACAUGUGCCCGGUUACAGGUCGAGGUCACGGCACAGUGGGGGCGCACUGGCAGAUCCAGGUCCAGUGAGGGCUCGAGACGCAGCAGCCGGUCCAGGUCACAGUAUGGUGAUGUUUUGAGGCACACCAGCAUCUCCAGGCCUAACGGGUUACGCUGUAGCAAUCUGACCAGCCCCCGUAUUACAGGCUAAGGCAUGGUGAGUUGUCAGAAGACCAUUUCAUCAGAGCACUUUGCAAUUCAUUGUUUGGUACUGAUUGUUAGGUUAUGUCGAAUUUAUAUUUCUCUUCUUAUGCUGCCCAAAUCUGUUGAUACGUUUGUCCGCUGUUAAUUUCUAAAUUCAACUUUCUGUGGUGCAGAUGUAGUGACCGAUGGAAAGGCGCAAGAACACCAAGGACUGCGUCCACAAAGUCCUUAACAACUGUUCACUAACGGCCAGAUGGCAAAAUUGAAUAUGAAGAGGAAGGUGAUGGACAAGAAGCCUUUUGAGAAGACUCCUGUUUAUAAAGAUGGAGUCAUGAAAUUGGAUUCAACAGCAACAGAGGGCUCAGUAAGGCUGUGUGCCUCUGAACACCUUAAACAUUCACCACAGGGAGGUGGAGAUCACUGCACUGUUUCUCAGGACUGAAAAACUUCAAUCAGGGACAAAGGAGAAGGUGGUGAAAGACUGGUGUGGAGCAGAAGGAGCUGCGGAAGGAAGGAGGAGGUGUAGGUGAACCGUGCCGGACACCACGCUCUGAAACAGGGACAAACCCAGGAGGCGCUGCACCGUUUUAGAGGAUCAGACAGAGACUUAAGUCAGCCAGGUUUCCUCCGGGUGCUACAGUUACCCCGACCUCAAAAAACAUGCUGCUCAGGUUGGUCCACAGUGGUGGCGCAGCUAUGGAC